CUUAUACCUAUACUGUUGCCUCGGCGCUGGCCGGCCUCCUCACCGAGGCCCCCUGGAGACAGGGAGCAGCCCGCCGGCGGCCAACCAAACUCUUGUUUCUUAGUGAAUCUCUGAGUAAAAAACAUAAUGAAUCAAAACUUUCAACAACGGAUCUCUUGGUUCUGGCAUCGAUGAAGAACGCAGCGAAAUGCGAUAAGUAAUGUGAAUUGCAGAAUUCAGUGAAUCAUCGAAUCUUUGAACGCACAUUGCGCCCUCUGGUAUUCCGGAGGGCAUGCCUGUUCGAGCGUCAUUUCAACCCUCAAGCCUAGCUUGGUGUUGGGGCACCGCCUUCGCAAGAGGGCGGGCCCUGAAAUCUAGUGGCGAGCUCGCUAGGACCCCGAGCGUAGUAGUUAUAUCUCGUUCUGGAAGGCCCUGGCGGUGCCCUGCCGUUAAACCCCCAACUUCUGAAAUUUUGACCUCGGAUCAGGUAGGAAUACCCGCUGAACUUAAGCAUAUCAAUA
rnacentral:rRNA from 1 species